UUUCCAUUUACGCGGGAAAUGUUAUUGAGUAAUGGCGUCUUAAUAGUUUCUGUGUUCGCAACGUGAUAAAAUUUUAUAAUUAUUGUAAAGAAGAUUCAAGAAAAUAAGAUUCAUACACAAUUCAAAUCUUUCAUUAAAACAACUCAUCACGUAGACAACGUUCACAUUCGAGCUAUCUAUAAGAAAUUAAUAGAAAAUCAGGACACAACGUGUGGUGUGGGUGCUUUUACCAAUUAAACGCAAGAUUAGAAAACUACGUCGCACGAGUUUCAUCCUUACUAGAUGGUUUUAACCAUUUUACACGAGAUUGAUUAAACAUAGAAUCAUUCGACUGAAACAGAGUUCCUUCUGCCAACGUGUAAUGUGAUAAACGAGAGGGCCUGGUCUCGGUGUCGUCUUUAUGCAGGUGCACGUGCCUCCGCUUAACUAUGGCAUAACUACUGGGUCGGCGAGCUUGUGACAAACUGCAUCGUAUAAAUACAUCGCGUGAAUGCGUGCGGUUAUUUUUUACCGGAUAAGCUCUUUCGAGCACGAACGCUGUGUGACUGAUGAAAU